CCAGCAACUUGGAGGAAUGUAUAGCGAAAGCUACUUGCAUUUAGCUUAGUUAAAGCUAAGUUUAUGCAGGAUUGAUAAUAUCAAAUAAAGUUCUAGGUGGGUUAUGAUGAUGACAUUUCCUAUCUAUGUGUCUUGACCAAAUUACGUGCCAGCAGUCGCGGUAACACGUAAAAGACUAGUGUUAUUCAUCUUUAAUAGGUUUAAAGGGUACCUAGACGGUAAAUCAAGUCCAAAAAGGGUACUAAUUUGCUAGAGUUUAAUGUGAGGGGGCACUAAAGUACUGAUAAGUGUAGAGAUGAAAUUCUGUGAUACAAUAUAAGGCACUGGCAAAGGCGAAAGCAUCUCAUUAUGUAAUAACUGACGUUGAGGGACGAAGGCUAGGUGUAGCCAAAAGGAUUAGAUACCCAAGUAGUCUUAGCAGAAAAUUAUGAAUGUCAUAGGAUGGAAAGUUGAAUGGAUAAACAACAAUUUUUUUUUCUAUAAAUGAAAGUGUAAGCAUUCCACCUCAAGAGUAAUUUGGCAACAUUGGAACUGAAAUCAUUAGACCGUUUCUGAAACAAGUAGUGAAGUAUGUUGUUUAAUUUGAUGGUCCGCAAAAAACCUUACCACUAUAAUUUGAAUAGAAAUAAUUUUUUUUUCAUACAAGCGCUGCACGGUUGUCUUCAGUUAAUGUCGUGAGAUCUUGGUUAGUUCCAUUAAAUUAACGUAAACCCUUACUUUAUUUUUAUAUAGAGUAGUUCACCGCUAGAUUGGAUGUGAUAACAGGGACUAAGACAAGUCAUCAUGG
rnacentral:rRNA from 1 species